CUACGGGUUGCACCAGUGGGGAAUAUUGGACAAUGGGGGAAACCCUGAUCCAGCAACGCCGCGUGUGUGAAGAAGGCCUGCGGGUUGUAAAGCACUUUCGGUUGGGAGGAUUAAUGUUACGGUUAAUACCCGUGAUAUUUGACGUUACCUACAGAAGAAGCACCGGCUAACUCAGUGCCUGCAGCCGCGGUAAUACUGAGGGUGCAAGCGUUAAUCGGAAUUACUGGGCGUAAAGCGCGCGUAGGUGGUUAGAUCAGUUGGGUGUGAAAGCCCCGAGCUUAACUUGGGAACUGCAUUCAAUACUGUCUAGCUAGAGUAUGGUAGAGGGAAGUGGAAUUCCGCAUGUAGCGGUGAAAUGCGUAGAGAUGCGGAGGAACACCAGUGGCGAAGGCGACUUCCUGGACCAAUACUGACACUGAGGUGCGAAAGCGUGGGGAGCAAACAGGAUUAGAUACCCGCGUAGUC
rnacentral:rRNA from 1 species